UACGGGGGCAGCAGUGGGGAAUUUUGGAUAAUGGGGGAAACCCUGAUCCAGCCAUCUCGGGCGUGUGCGAUGAAGGCCUUCGGGUUGUAAAGCACUUUUGGCAGGAAAGUGAACGCACGAUAAUUCGUGCAACUGACGGUACCUGCAUGAAUAAGCACCGGUUAACCACGUGCCAGCAGCCGCGGUAAUACGUAGGGUGCAAGCGACCGGAAUUACUGGGCGUAAAGCGUGCAGGCGGUUCGGAAAGAAAGAUGUGAAAUCCCAGAGCUUAACUUUGGAACUGCAUUUUUAACUACCGAGCUAGAGUGUGUCAGAGGGAGGUGGAAUUCCGCGUGUAGCAGUGAAAUGCGUAGAUAUGCGGAGGAACACCGAUGGCGAAGGCAGCCUCCUGGGAUAACACUGACGCUCAUGCACGAAAGCGUGGGGAGCAACAGGAUUAGAUACUCCGGGUAGU
rnacentral:misc_RNA from 1 species